AGUGGGAUUACUGGGUCAAAUGGUGGUUCCAUUCUACGUUUUCUGAGGAAUCUCCAUACUGCUUUCCAGAGUGCUUGCACCAAUUUGCAGUCCCAUUAGCAAU
rnacentral:pre_miRNA from 1 species